rnacentral:tRNA from 1 species
UAGUCUGUAGCUCAGUUGGUUAGAGCGCUGCACUGGAAUCACAGGGCCAUAGCUUCAAAUCCUACCAGAGGAC